UGGGGAAUGGUGUAACGGUAGCACGGCUGGCUCUGAACCAGUUAGUCUAGGUUCGAAUCCUAGUUCCCCAA
rnacentral:tRNA from 1 species